UACGUAGGGUGCGAGCGUUGUCCGGAAUUAUUGGGCGUAAAGAGCUUGUAGGCGGUUUGUCGCGUCUGCUGUGAAAAUCCGGGGCUCAACCCCGGACUUGCAGUGGGUACGGGCAGACUAGAGUGUGGUAGGGGAGACUGGAAUUCCUGGUGUAGCGGUGGAAUGCGCAGAUAUCAGGAGGAACACCAGCGGCGAAGGCGGCGCUCUGGGCCGGUACUGACACUGAGGAGCGAAAGCGUGGGUAGCAAACAGG
rnacentral:rRNA from 1 species